rnacentral:rRNA from 1 species
UGAGGAAUAUUGGGUCAAUGGGCGGAAGCCUGAACCAGCCAAGUAGCGUGAGGGAUGACUGCCCUAUGGGUUGUAAACCUCUUUUAUAAGGGAAUAAAAUACGGGACGUGUCCUGUUUUGCAUGUACCUUAUGAAUAAGGACCGGCUAAUUCCGUGCCAGCAGCCGCGGUAAUACGGAAGGUCCGGGCGUUAUCCGGAUUUAUUGGGUUUAAAGGGAGCGUAGGCCGGAGAUUAAGCGUGUUGUGAAAUGUAGGCGCUCAACGUCUGCACUGCAGCGCGAACUGGUUUUCCUUGAGUACG